rnacentral:rRNA from 1 species
AGUGAACGCUGGCGGUAGGCCUAACACAUGCAAGUCGAACGGCAGCACAGUAAGAGCUUGCUCUUACGGGUGGCGAGUGGCGGACGGGUGAGGAAUACAUCGGAAUCUACUUUUUCGUGGGGGAUAACGUAGGGAAACUUACGCUAAUACCGCAUACGACCUACGGGUGAAAGCAGUGGAUCUUCGGACCUUGCGCGAUUGAAUGAGCCGAUGUCGGAUUAGCUAGUUGGCGGGGUAAAGGCCCACCAAGGCGACGAUCCGUAGCUGGUCUGAGAGGAUGAUCAGCCACACUGGAGCUGAGACACGGUCCAGACUCCUACGGGAGGCAGCAGUGGGGAAUAUUGGACAAUGGGCGCAAGCCUGAUCCAGCCAUACCGCGUGGGUGAAGAAGGCCUUCGGGUUGUAAAGCCCUUUUGUUGGGAAAGAAAAGCAGCAGGAUAAUACCCCGCUGUUCUGACGGUACCAAAAGAAUAAGCACCGGCUAACUUCGUG